AGCGAACGCUGGCGGCAGGCUUAACACAUGCAAGUCGAGCGGGCAUCCUUGUGGUGUCAGCGGCUGACGGGUGAGUAACGCGUGGGAACGUGCCCUUCGGUUCGGAAUAACUCAGGGAAACUUGAGCUAAUACCGGAUACGUGCGAGAGCAGAAAGGUUUAUCUGCCGAAGGAUCGGCCCGCGUCUGAUUAGCUAGUUGGUGAGGUUACGGCUCACCAAGGCGACGAUCAGUAGCUGGUCUGAGAGGAUGAUCAGCCACACUGGGACUGAGACACGGCCCAGACUCCUACGGGAGGCAGCAGUGGGGAAUAUUGGACAAUGGGGGCAACCCUGAUCCAGCCAUGCCGCGUGAGUGAUGACGGCCUUAGGGUUGUAAAGCUCUUUUCUCCGGGACGAUAAUGACGGUACCGGAGGAAUAAGCCCCGGCUAACUUCGUG
rnacentral:rRNA from 1 species